GAAAGGAUGGGGUGGAAUACAGUUGUGGGCUAUUGGUAAGGUCCCAGUUUUUGUGGUGGACAGUAUCUCGUAGGUGUUACAUUAUCAAAAAUAUAUAGCUAAUUACAUACAUGAACACAUGAAUAAAAGAGGGUUAUGCAUUGACCAAAGAUGAUAGUGCAAUGAGCCAAAAAUUAUGUUGUGCACUGGAGGUGAAGGAGUGAGGGGAAGAGAGAAAGAAAGGCUCAGACCCUGAGGCGCAUCAACUGAGUGUGGGGAAAAGCUACAGAUCAUAAUGGAAGAGAAGAAGACAGUGUUUUAAUUUUGUUCCUGUUUGCUGUGGCCAGUUGCAGCCCACCAUAAUAUGUUAAGAAGGCUGUCCCACAGGGCAGCCCACUCUGAGCUCAACCUGGAGCCAACUGAACAUUGGAAACCAUGCAUCUCAUCUGUGGCUCCCUCAUUACCCCCAUCUUGAUUUCUGAGUUUACUCAUCUAUCGUCGGUCUGUUCCUCCUCCUCGUUACUUCAGCACUGUGCAUGUGUGUUUCUGUUGUCUUGGUGUUUGACACUCUCCUGAUCACACCUUUGCCCUGUAUCUCAGCUCAGGGGCUCUUAUCUUUUGGAACCUACACCUCAUACAGGAUUGGAGCUUUUCUUAAGAACACUCAGGUUUCAGGGUUCUGAGUUCUACUCCCAACUCAGUCCACUGAAGGAAGGACACAAAUAGGCAAGGCUUAAAAAUGUGCUUCAGUCUAAGUCUCAAGGAUGAGAUAAAGGUGUUAAAUGCCAUUUGAUGUUAAAGUUUUAUAUAUAUGCCUGGACAUUAUCAGAAACACAUAAUUUUUAAAAUUGUGCUUCAAAGACCACAACACUGCUUCAGUUGAGACAUGUGAUAAUUCCACACAACAAAGAAACCAUGGCAUUAGCUGAGAGGGACCUUGGCACAUCCGGAUAGGCACUGCUUCAUGGAAGGAAAGAGGAAGUUUAGACCAGGUUGCAUGCUGGGACCAGUCUGUCCAGAUUUGAAUCAUGGCUCUGCCACUUAUUGGUGGAUGUGUGGUGAUGCUAACAAGGAGUUUCCUGGAGAUGUGGGCACCUCCUGUCCCUGCUGUGGUUUCGUAUGCUGCCUCCACUUGACACCUCUCACCUGCACAGCAGACAGGGCUUUCCUCCUGGAAAGUGCCUCCUCGAAAAACUUUUCCUCCACUCUUUGGCUCUCAAUCACGCUCCCUUGCCAUAAAUCAACUUCUGUCUCUCUAACAAAGAAAAUUAAAAGCUAUUUAUUCUAUGUGCUUAUUAAGAGAUA
rnacentral:lncRNA from 1 species